rnacentral:rRNA from 1 species
GAUGAACGCUGGCGGCGUGCUUAAUACAUGCAAGUCGAGCGAACAGAUGAGGAGCUUGCUCCUCUGACGUUAGCGGCGGACGGGUGAGUAACACGUGGAUAACCUACCUAUAAGACUGGGAUAACUUCGGGAAACCGGAGCUAAUACCGGAUAAUAUAUUGAACCGCAUGGUUCAAUAGUGAAAGACGGUUUUGCUGUCACUUAUAGAUGGAUCCGCGCCGCAUUAGCUAGUUGGUAAGGUAACGGCUUACCAAGGCAACGAUGCGUAGCCGACCUGAGAGGGUGAUCGGCCACACUGGAACUGAGACACGGUCCAGACUCCUACGGGAGGCAGCAGUAGGGAAUCUUCCGCAAUGGGCGAAAGCCUGACGGAGCAACGCCGCGUGAGUGAUGAAGGUCUUCGGAUCGUAAAACUCUGUUAUUAGGGAAGAACAAAUGUGUAAGUAACUAUGCACGUCUUGACGGUACCUGAUCAGAAAGCCACGGCUAACUACGUG